rnacentral:rRNA from 1 species
AUCAUCAGUUGGGCACUUUAGAGAGACUGCCGGUGUUAAGCCGGAGGAAGGUGGGGAUGACGUCAAGUCCUCAUGGCCUUUAUGUCUAGGGCUACACACGUGCUACAAUGGGUGGUACAAAGAGCAGCUAACUCGCGAGAGUAUGCAAAUCUCAAAAAGCCAUCCUCAGUUCGGAUUGGAGUCUGCAACUCGACUCCAUGAAGUUGGAAUCGCUAGUAAUCGCGGAUCAGCAUGCCCGCGGUCGAAUACGUUCCGGCCUU